AACCCACCACAGAGUCAAAGUUAAACGUUGCUCUUAUUUGUGAAAAUGGGCACGUGACCCGUUUCAACUUCCACCCUUCAAAGAAUCAGAAUAGUUAAAAUCCAAACGAUGCCCAACGCUAAUAAUAACACUCUGAACAUGCAGA